CAAUCAGAAACACCUUUUUAUAUCUAGAUCUUGUGGCCAUGCAUGGAAGCCUUUCAAAAAUGCCCUCUGAGUUGGUUAAUGAUUGCUGUUCAUUGAGCUGAUAACUAUACUUCCAACAGCGAAAAUAUCUACCACACAUUGACGCCAAUCACAUACUUUUUAGUAAGUCGUCUGUGUCUCAAGUACAUUCAAAGGAAACAGAACAUGUCAGAGGUGGAGGAACUGAAGGACCAGUAACGACGGCUCGGCUUUGCAGAGAGACGCAGUAAGUACAGAAAGUUAUUGGAGAUGAUUAAUGUGUUCUCACUUUAUGGUGUCUUGUGGGUAACAGGGAUGCUGAGGCUGUGAUUGGUUGGAUGUAUUCAAAACCUAGAAGUAAUGAAUUCAAAUGAAUUCAAAUGUGAUU
rnacentral:lncRNA from 1 species